rnacentral:rRNA from 1 species
CCUACGGGUGGCAGCAGUGGGGAAUAUUGCACAAUGGGCGAAACCCUGAUGCAGCGACGCCGCGUGAGUGAAGAAGUAUUUCGGGAUGUAAAGCUCUAUCAGUAGGGAAGAAAAUGACGGUACCUGAGUGAUAAUCCCCGGAUAACUACGUGCCAGCAGCCGCGGUAAUACGGAGGGGGCAAGCGUUAUCCGGAUUUACUGGGUGUAAAGGGAGCGUAGGCGGCUGCACAAGUCUGGAGUGAAAUGCCGCGGCUUAACCCGGUAACUGCAUUGGAAACUGUGCAUCUAGAGUGCAGGAGAGGUGAGUGGAAUUCGUGGUGUAGCGGUGAAAUGCGUAGAUAUUAGGAGGAACACCAGUGGCGAAGGCGGCUUACUGGACUGUAACUGACGUUGAGGCUCGAAAGCGUGGGGAGCAAACAGGAUUAGAUACCCUGGUAGUC